GUCGAGAAUCUUUCACAAUGGGGGCAACCCUGAUGGAGCGACGCCGCGUGGAGGAUAAGGUCUUCGGAUUGUAAACUCCUGUCAUGCGUGAACAAGGUUGCUUGGUUAAUACCUGGGCAAAUUGAUGGUAACGCAAGAGGAAGAGACGGCUAACUCUGUGCCAGCAGCCGCGGUAAUACAGAGGUCUCAAGCGUUGUUCGGAAUCACUGGGCGUAAAGGGUGCGUAGGUGGCCUGGUAAGUCAGAUGUGAAAGCCCGGGGCUCAACCUGGGAAAUGCAUCCGAUACUGCCAUGCUAGAGUACUGGAGAGGUGACUAGAAUUCUCGGUGUAGCAGUGAAAUGCGUAGAUAUCGAGAGGAAUACCAAAGGCGUAGGCAGGUCACUGGACAGUUACUGACACUGAGGCACGAAGGCCAGGGGAGCGAACGGGAUUAGAAACCCGAGUAGUCC
rnacentral:rRNA from 1 species